rnacentral:rRNA from 1 species
CCUACGGGAGGCAGCAGUGGGGAAUUUUGGACAAUGGGCGAAAGCCUGAUCCAGCAAUGCCGCGUGAGUGAAGAAGGCCUUCGGGUUGUAAAGCUCCUUUGUCAGGGAAGAAACGGUGAGAGCUAAUAUCUUUUGCUAAUGACGGUACCUGAAGAAUAAGCACCGGCUAACUACGUGCCAGCAGCCGCGGUAAUACGUAGGGUGCAAGCGUUAAUCGGAAUUACUGGGCGUAAAGCGUGCGCAGGCGGUUUUGUAAGUCUGUCGUGAAAUCCCCGGGCUCAACCUGGGAAUUGCGAUGGAGACUGCAAGGCUAGAAUCUGGCAGAGGGGGGUAGAAUUCCACGUGUAGCAGUGAAAUGCGUAGAGAUGUGGAGGAACACCGAUGGCGAAGGCAGCCCCCUGGGUCAAGAUUGACGCUCAUGCACGAAAGCGUGGGGAGCAAACAGGAUUAGAUACCCUGGUAGUCCACGCCCUAAACGAUGUCUACUAGUUGUCGGGUUUUAAUUAACUUGGUAACGCAGCUAACGCGUGAAGUAGACCGCCUGGGGAGUACGGUCGCAAGAUUAAAACNCAAAGUAGUAGUACGGACGNGAGAGAGACGACGACGACGACGAGAGGAGGAG